rnacentral:rRNA from 1 species
GAGCCAGACUCCUACGGGAGGCAGCAGUGGGGAAUAUUGCACAAUGGGGGAAACCCUGAUGCAGCGACGCCGCGUGAGUGAAGAAGUCUUUCGGUAUGUAAAGCUCUAUCAGCAGGAAAGAAAAUGACGGUACCUGACUAAGAAGCCCCGGCUAACUACGUGCCAGCAGCCGCGGUAAUACGUAGGGGGCAAGCGUUAUCCGGAUUUACUGGGUGUAAAGGGAGCGUAGACGGUGAAGCAAGUCUGAAGUGAAAGGCGGGGGCUCAACCCCGGGACUGCAUUUGGAACUGUGCUGCUAGAGUGUCGGAGAGGCAGGCGGAAUUCCUAGUGUAGCGGUGAAAUGCGUAGAUAUUAGGAGGAACACCAGUGGCGAAGGCGGCCUGCUGGACGAUGACUGACGUUGAGGCUCGAAAGCGUGGGGAGCAAACAGGAUUAGAUACCCCUGUAC